GGUAAUCGGAAGUCUACUGGACGAAUGCGGCAACGUUGCGAUAUUUCCUGCUUAAUAUUUUCAGGCACAAUGAAUGAUAUUAAGGGCAGGUGCGCCACAUUGGGGGAAGAUGCAAAGCAGAAAUACAUUCAAGAGGCAGCAGCACUGAGGGCAUAUGGGCAGGCGCAGGACCUAAACCCUGAGAUGGAGGCAAUUUGUGCUGUGUCUGCUGCGUCCAUUUUUAUGAUAAGAAGAAGAAUGCAAGAAAGAAGUGGCAUUCAUGGUCUCAGUGCACAGUGUGCCAAUCAUGGUCACACACAGCAUGUGGCUUUAAAAAGAACAUGUGCGUUCACUGCCAGGGUCAAGACACCAUGCAAACACCCUGAAUAUGUAUCUUGUUACUUGUUUGAGUUGUUUUUACUGUGUUGACGGCCCCCAACCCAUCCAUACAAACACACACACACAAUACAUACAUAUGCUGCAAAUUUAUUGUAAUGACCACACUUCACACGAAAGAAGAAAAUUGUGAUCUUUUUGUUAUUUUCAUUCACCCCAUUUUUAUUUAUUAUUGUUGUUUGUUGGCACCAUCAAUGUGUUCUCCUUUAUACAGGACUUAUGUGGGGACCAAUAAAGUUAUAUUGUACUGAA